GUUUAAAGUAAGGUAAAAAAAAAAAAAAAGCAUACACAAGAAUAGAAUCUUCUGAGGUGUCCUGAGAUCUCUCACUGGUUAAGGAUGAUGACAGCCCACUGAGUAGGCUAUACUAAGACACCCUCAAGUCUGUUACAGUACAGGGCUAGGGCCUGUCCCAAAUAGCACUCUAUUCCAUACAUAGUGAACUUCUUUGGACCAGGACCCAUAGUGUUCUUGCAACAGCAACAAAAAUACUGGAUAAAAAGUUCACUAUAUAGGGAAUAGGGUGCCAUAAAGUACUGGUCUAAUGUAGUGCACUAAAUAGGGAAUAGGGUGCCAUAUGGCUCUGGUCAAAAUUAGUGCACUGUAUUAAAAAAAAAAAAGAGUGCUCAAUUUUGGAACACAUUCCUAGUUUCAGAGCAACUGUGUUGCUAUGGCUUGAACUAAUCACCCCCAGCCUUUCUAACUAGCUGGUGGGAUAGGGCUGAGAUGGUGGGUUCACAUGGGGCCACGGACCAGGCAAGGCAUUUAAGCACUUGAUCCUCUUGGGUACACUAACGUGAGAUUUUAGAGAGUGAAAGCUAGACAUGUGAUUGGAUUAAACAGAGGAGCAGUCUGCAAAUGGCUUUACCUUGAGAGAGAGAGAGAGACACAGAGAGAGAGAGAGAGACACAGAGAGAGAGAGAGACACAGAGAGAGAGAGAGAGACAGAGAGAGAGUGACACAGAGAGAGAAAGACAGAGAGAGACACAGAGAGAGAGACACAGAGAGAGACAGAAUAGAACAGCAGCUCAGAGACAGAGAGGGGGAGAGAGAGAGAGUGAGAGAGAGAUACACACAGAGAGAGAGAGAAAAGGAGAGAGAUACACACAGAGAGAGAAAAAGAGAGAGAGAUACACACACAAAGAGAAAAAGAGACACACACGUGACAGUCUAUGUACAUUGCCAUGCUGAUCUGGACAUAGUUCACAAUCAAUGGAUUCACUCAUGACAUCAUAUAACCUUACAGACAAUAACAGGACAUACAAUAGAUGCACAGUUUGCAAAUAUUAUAGGGCCAACCUCAAUACAUCCCUGAUUUUAACUCAUCCCUGGAUUAUAAUAUAGGGUUCAGUUCCAUCCCUGGUUUUGACUCAGUCCUGGUUUAUAAUAUAGGGUUCAGAUCCAUCCCUGGUUUUAACUCAGUCCUGGUUUAUAAUAUAGGGUUCAGAUCCAUCCCUGGUUUUAACUCAUCCCUGGUUUAUAAUAUAGGGUUCAGAUUCAUCCCUGAUUUAUAAUAUAGGGUUCAGAUCCAUCCCUGGUUUUAACUCGUCCCUGGUUUAUAAUAUAGUGUUCAGAUCCAUCCCUGGUUUUAACUCAGUCCUGGUUUAUAAUACAGGGUUCAGAUCCAUCCCUGGUUUUAACUCAGUCCUGGUUUAUAAUAUAGGGUUCAGAUCCAUCCCUGGUUUUAACUCAGUCCUGGUUUAUUAUAUAGG
ensembl:lncRNA